CUACGGGGUGCAGCAGGCGCGAAAACUUUACAAUGCUGGCAACAGCGAUAAGGGAACCUCGAGUGCCAGGUUACAAAUCUGGCUGUCGAGAUGCCUAAAAAGCAUUUCAUAGCAAGGGCCGGGCAAGACCGGUGCCAGCCGCCGCGGUAACACCGGCGGCUCGAGUGGUAACCGUUAUUAUUGGGUCUAAAGGGUCUGUAGCCGGCCGGAUAAGUCUCUUGAGAAAUCUGGCAGCUUAACUGUCAGGCUUUCAGGAGAUACUGUCUGGCUCGAGGCCGGGAGAGGUGAGAGGUACUUCAGGGGUAGGGGUGAAAUCUUGUAAUCCUUGAAGGACCACCAGUGGCGAAGGCGUCUCACCAGAACGGACCUGACGGCAAGGGACGAAAGCUAGGGGCACGAACCGGAUUAGAUACCCGGGUAGUCCUAGCCGUAAACGAUACUCGCUAGGUGUCGGCCACGGUGCGACCGUUGUCGGUGCCGUAGGGAAGCCGUGAAGCGAG
rnacentral:rRNA from 1 species